UACGGAGGGGGCUAGCGUUGUUCGGAAUUACUGGGCGUAAAGCGCACGUAGGCGGCUUUGUAAGUUAGAGGUGAAAGCCCGGAGCUCAACUCCGGAAUUGCCUUUAAGACUGCAUCGCUUGAAUCAUGGAGAGGUGAGUGGAAUUCCGAGUGUAGAGUUGAAAUUCGUAGAUAUUCGGAAGAACACCAGUGGCGAAGGCGACUCACUGGACAUGUAUUGACGCUGAGGUGCGAAAGCGUGGGGAGCAAACAGG
rnacentral:rRNA from 1 species